UACGUAGGGAGCAAGCGUUGUCCGGAUUCACUGGGUGUAAAGGGUGCGCAGGCGGAUUGGUAAGUCAGGGGUGAAAUCUCACGGCUUAACCGUGAAAUUGCCUUUGAUACUGCCAAUCUUGAGUUCGGGAGAGGUCGAUGGAAUUCCAGGUGUAGCGGUGAAAUGCGUAGAGAUCAGCAGGAACACCCGUGGCGAAGGCGGCCCCCUGGGCCGUGCCUGACGCUGAGGCGCGAAGGCUAGGGGAGCGAACGGG
rnacentral:rRNA from 1 species